UGGGGAAUAUUGCACAAUGGGCGAAAGCCUGAUGCAGCAACGCCGCGUGAGUGAUGAAGGCCUUCGGGUUGUAAAGCUCUGUCUUUUGGGACGAUAAUGACGGUACCAAAGGAGGAAGCCACGGCUAACUACGUGCCAGCAGCCGCGGUAAUACGUAGGUGGCAAGCGUUGUCCGGAUUUACUGGGCGUAAAGGAUGCGUAGGCGGAUUUUUAAGUGAGAUGUGAAAAACCCUAAGCUUAACUUGGGGACUGCAUUUCAUACUGGAAAUCUAGAGUGCGGGAGAGGAGAAUGGAAUUCCUAGUGUAGCGGUGAAAAUGCGUAGAGAUUAGGAAGAACACCAGUGGCGAAGGCGAUUCUCUGGACCGUAACUGACGCUGAGGCAUGAAAAGCGUGGGUAGCAAAACAGGAUUAGAUACCCUGGUAGUCCACGCCGUAAACGAUGAGUACUAGGUGUAGGAGGUAUCGACCCCUUCUGUGCCGCAGUUAACACAAUAAGUACUCCGCCUGGGAAGUACGAUCGCAAGAUUAAAAACUC
rnacentral:rRNA from 1 species